rnacentral:misc_RNA from 1 species
GCUUCUUCUUCUGUAGUGGUCUUGGACUUACAGUUCCAGAACUCCUUCCUAUUGCAGGAUAGCUUCCUUCCUUUUGUUGGCGUAAUGUUGGGUUUUGAACUGCCCUUGAUGUUCCUUCUUUGGUCUUCCUGUCUGGUGAAGGAAGAAGCCAACCAGAAUCUCUGAUAUUUUUCGCUCUAGGUGUCACAUCUUUCCAAGUUUUCUUGUCAGCUGUAUCCUCUCUGUUAUAUACAAGGUCUUUAGUGAAGAGUUCUUGAAAAUUGGGGACAUUU